UACUCGAGUGGCGAACGGGUGAGUAACACGUGGGUGAUCUGCCCUGCACUUCGGGAUAAGCUUGGGAAACUGGGUCUAAUACCGGAUAGGACCGCACUUUAGUGUGUGUGGUGGAAAGUUUUUUCGGUGUAGGAUGAGCUCGCGGCCUAUCAGCUUGUUGGUGGGGUAAUGGCCUACCAAGGCGGCGACGGGUAGCCGGCCCUGACGAGGGUGUACGGCCACAUUUGGGACUGAGAUACGGCCCAG
rnacentral:rRNA from 1 species